UCGCGCGCGGUGAACUCAAUGAAUCCAGCUUCGUUUCACGUUACGCUUGAAAGAAAGAAGGGUCGUAAAACAAGUCAUUGCCAUACAUCAUACUCACAGGUUUUGUUCUACCGUAUGAUGAAUAUGAUGAUGAAAUCAAUGAAGUAAUGGGAAACAAUUGAUAAGUAUUCAACAUCUAAAUAUUAAAGUAGGCCUACAGUAAAGGUGUGUGUUUUUCAAUAUGCCACUUCUUAAAUUUCAUUGUUGAUGACAUUCAAGCAGGAUUUCAGGAAGAGCUGUAUCGUGUAAAACCAUAAAAUUCAGAGGACAGUUACCCUCAUUGCCAUUGGAUACCUCUUUUUUACUAGCUGGAAUCUCAAUAAAUUUCCACU